rnacentral:rRNA from 1 species
GACGUAGGGCGCGAGCGUUGUCCGGAUUUAUUGGGCGUAAAGAGCUCGUAGGCGGCUUGUCGCGUCGUCCGUGAAAACCCACAGCUCAACUGUGGGCUUGCGGUCGAUACGGGCAGGCUAGAGUUCGGUAGGGGAGACUGGAAUUCCUGGUGUAGCGGUGAAAUGCGCAGAUAUCAGGAAGAACACCCGUGGCGAAGGCGGCUCUCUGGAACGCAACUGACGCUGAGACGCGAAAGCGUGGGGAGCAAACAGG